UGCUUGAGGUCUAUCUUUCUUUCUCAGUUUAAAUGAUUCACAUUUCUAAAUGUCUAUAAACGCUAGCUUGAGAAACACAUCUGUGGAAAGCAACAAAAUGUGGGCUUUUGGUGCCAAAGUCCUGUGGCUUCGCUUCUGUUUAAGUUAAAAACUGACGAGUGAAAAGUGACAUUUCUGUCAACCCUGGGAACGCCUGUAGCGCAGCUCAACAUGCACAGACUUGUACCUGUAAAGUAAGUCAGAGGAAGAGAAGCCCGACAAGGAGGACACUUAUCUGCACAACGGCAGAAAAAUACUUUUUGGCAACAGAAAACACAUGUUCAUCUUGUCAACACCAUACAAAAGCAAAAGGGUUUGAAAAAGUAAAGACAGCUUCUCAUAUUGGAUGUGCUAUAUGCAUCUGCAAGCUACUUUGAGACCCACCUCCACCCUCAUCUCUCGUCUCUUCUUCUUCUGGAUGUUUAGCAUCAAUAUCAACACAAGCAGAGCUCCUGUUAAUGAUGUCAUUGAUGGCGUGGGGGGAGUCAUUUGACCGUCUUCUGGAGUGUAAAACUGGCCAGCUGGUGUUUGAGGACUUCUUGAGGACAGAGUACAGUGACGAGAACCUUCUUUUCUGGCUGGCCUGCAAAAAGUACAAGAAAAUAACCAGAGUGACAGAAAUGACCAUUGCUGCCAAACGGAUAUACACUGAGUUUGUCCAAGUUGGUGCACCUAGACAGAUAAACAUUGACUGUGUGACCAGAGAAGAAAUCAGUAAAAAUAUCUCUCAGCCGGGGCCAAAUUGCUUCGACGGGGCGCAGAAACUGAUAUAUGGCCUGAUGGAAAACGACUGUUACCCACGAUUUCUGAAAUCAGAAAUCUACCAAGAUCUCCUGGAGCCGGCUGAACAGCAAUGAAAGUAAGAUGAAGAAGAAGAAGACAAAAAAAAACCAUGGCUGACACCUCUUUGAAUGAUUGAUUUUGCACCUCAGAAGACUCUUUAGAAACUCAGUUAAACAAAAAGGGCUGCCUGUCAGACGAAGGAGGAGUGAAAGGACAUACAGAGCUGUUGGUAUGGAGACUGACAGGAUCUAAAAGCCAAACAUGAUCUAAAUAAUUUAUUAAGCUGCUUUUGAAGUCAAUUUUUGUUUUGGAUUUGAUGGUGCACAAAACGCCUGUAAUUCAAAAAAAAAAAAAAAAAAAAAAGAUAUCACGCCUUGAAAGGUUGACAUUUGUUUGGAUGAACAUCAAGGGUAAAUUCUGUCAUUUGUAAACACUCCUCCUUAAAUGAUUUAGAAUAUGUUUUGGGAAAGUUAAUUUUUCAUUACACUGUCUUUUGGUAUCCAAUCACACAAACUAAUAAGAUGUGAACAGUACCUAAGCAAUAUGAUAGGAUGUAACAGGUGAUGUCAUCUCUUUGGCCUGAUGAAAUUCUCUUUGAGUAUAUUUGAAAAGUGUUUUUUUAUGGCAGUAGGAAAUGUACAAAAAUGUUCUAUUGUUGCAGUGGUGAAUCACACGGGCUUAGAUUUAGUUUAGUCUGGCUGUACAUAACCUGCUGCCUCUGGAAAGAGUUUGUUUGCUGCACAGCUUGGAAACAGGCUGCCAAUCAUCUGAUUACUGUACAAUGUGAUACCACCGGACCAUUGUACGCUCCCUGUCAAAAUAUUGACAGUAAAUAUCGUAUUAAAAGAGCACUGUAUUGUUGUUUUUGUUGGAUAAAUCCUGCAGCUGCUGUGGCUGAUUAGUGGUUAAAAAAUAGUUCUACGCACGAGCCUGUGUGUUCGCAAAUGAGUGUGUGUGGCCUUCACUGUGGCCAUUUUGUCAAAUGAUGUGUCAAGCACCUCUUCUAUAUGAGCAUGCACAGAGCCUGAAGCACAAAGCCUGGGUUAACAGCAAAAAGUUGAUGAGCACCAUUGUAAUACCCGUUAUGUCUGACUGGAGUUUUUGCAUUUGACAAACCAGCUAACAUAAAACUUGCUUUGUAAUAUCAAGUUUGGCGUUUAGGACCAGCACAGUUCAGCUGGUUUGCUAAAAUAGAGUGGUGAAAUAAAUAUAUUCACUUAUAAGAAUAAGAAUUGUGUGUAGCAUGUGGACAUUAUCAAAGAUGGACUUAGAUUCCAGGCCUAAAAAGGUUAGAGAGAAGGAAAAUGCCUUAAACUUGCGUUCUGUUUAACUGCCAGUAGGGGGCAAACUCUAGAAGUCUGUAAGAAAAUGAUUUGACCUCAAUAAAUGCUUUACAGAUGA